AUGGGAAAGCUGGAAGCGUCGGUUGCGAUGCUCGCCCUUGCCUUGGUUCUUGGCCUCGUGUCCGGCGGCAACUUUUACGACGAAUGCGACGCUACGUGGGAGCCCCAGAACUGCUGGACCUACGACGGCGGCAACAGCCUCUCCCUCGCCCUCGUCAGCAACUCCUCAGGCUCGAUGAUCAGGUCCAAGAGGCAGUUCAUAUAUGGAACAGUGUCGACCAUGAUCCAGCUCGUCAAGGGCGACUCCGCUGGCACCGUCACGACGUACUACACAUCGUCGGUAGGGGAUGACCACGACGAGAUCGACUUCGAGUUCCUGGGGAACGAGACGGGGCAGCCCUACACGCUGCACACCAACGUCUAUGCCGCCGGCGUCGGCGACAAAGAGAUGCAGUUCCGCCCCUGGUUCGACCCCACCGACGGCUACCACAACUACACCAUCUCCUGGACGCCCUGCACGAUCGCCUGGUACGUCGACGGGACGCCCAUCAGGGCGUUCCGCAACUACGAGCACACCCACGGUGUGGCGUUCCCGACGAGCCGCCCCAUGUACGCCUACUCCAGCAUCUGGGCGGCCGAGGACUGGGCCACGCAGGGUGGCCGCGUCAGGGCCGACUGGACCCGCGCGCCCUUCGUUGCCAGCUACCGCGGCAUUGAUCUUGAUGUUUGCGAGUGCUACGGCGGCGACUGCGUCUACACCUGCGCCGGGGCGUUCGGGGGCUGCGGCGGUCUCACCGGCGAACAGCGGGGGAAGAUGCGGUGGGUGCAGCACAACUACAGGAUCUACGACUACUGCGCCGACCGCGAGGGCAGCAAGGUGCCAGGCAUCGAGUGCACCCUGCCGCAGUACUGA
rnacentral:rRNA from 1 species